UUCAGACUCCUACGGGAGGCAGCAGUGGGGAAUAUUGCACAAUGGGGGGAACCCUGAUGCAGCGACGCCGCGUGGGUGAAGGAGCACCUCGGUGCGUAAAGCCCUAUCGGCAGGGAAGAAAAGCGAACAGGUUCGCCUGGACGGUACCUGACUAAGAAGCCCCGGCUAACUACGUGCCAGCAGCCGCGGUAAUACGUAGGGGGCAAGCGUUAUCCGGAUUUACUGGGUGUAAAGGGAGCGUAGACGGAAUUGCAAGUCUGAUGUGAAAAUCCGGGGCCCAACCCCGGAACUGCAUUGGAAACUGUAUUUCUAGAGUGUCGGAGAGGCAAGUGGAAUUCCUGGUGUAGCGGUGAAAUGCGUAGAUAUCAGGAGGAACACCAGUGGCGAAGGCGGCUUGCUGGACGAUGACUGACGUUGAGGCUCGAAAGCGUGGGGAGCAAACAGGAUUAGAUACCCUCGUA
rnacentral:rRNA from 1 species